GCGGACGUGGCGGAAUUGGAAGACGCGCGUGGUUUAGUUUCUUUUUUUAUUUGACCGUGGAGGUUCGAGUCCUCUCGUCCGCA
rnacentral:tRNA from 1 species